UACAGCUCUGCUUUAACACCCACCUCCUAUAUGAACAAGGUCUCAAGGUCUUGCAAAGGUAACCUGUUGGAGCAAGCCUUGGUCUUUGCAAGCCAAGCAUAUUCAAGGGAUUUUACGAAGGGACUGUGUAUGCUGAUGUGGGUGAGGCUAAGGAAACAGACAAGAAAUAUUGAUGUCUCCAGGGACCCACACACACAUAAAGGGGGAUCCAGCAUUCCUUUAAGGCUGUACCUAAAAGCUGAGGGAGUAAUGUUUCCAGAACCUGGGUGAGAAUCGGAGCAAUAGGAGAAGAUGUCACCAUACAGGGAUGAAGCCCUGGGCAGAACCAUACUGAAGCAGGAAAUGCAGGAAACAAGGAUCUCUGCUGCUCUCCCCUCUAGAUUUGCAAUCCUCUGCCAGUUUCUUGCAUGGACUGAAACCAACUAGAUGCUGCGGAGCAGGAAACCCCAUGGGACAUGGGCUGUAAAAGUCAGCGUCCCAUAUUGUGAAGUGUGCAACAGCAGCAGAGACAGACAGAGAGUUAAUCCAGGAUUUCUUUUCCACUUACCUACACGAUAGGACAUUUAGAGCCAGUUGUUGAAGUCUAAUGGAUUGACUGAGAUUGUUCCAUCUUACUCUUUUUAGAGGCAAAUAAAGAGGAUCAAUCAAACUUCUAAUCUUGAAUUCUGCAUUUGCAUAAAGAACUCUGGGGAGUAUCGUCCACUUUCAAUAGCAGGAGGACCUCAGUGUCACAGAGGCUGGCAUGCAAUUGUGAGAUCACAGCUGACUACAGCCUCAAUAUCUUGGGCUCGAGCGAUCCUCCCACCUCAGCCUCCUGAGUAGCUGGAACUACAG
rnacentral:lncRNA from 1 species